rnacentral:lncRNA from 1 species
ACCCCUUCCGAGGGACUCUCCAGUAUCACGGGUAACAGUGAAGGACCCACCAGCCUGAGACUCCCAAACAUACUGCUCAUCAUCGUUGUGCUUGGUGGUCACGACGACUCUAUCAGCAACAAGGUAAGCAGAGUAGAAGCCAACACCAAACUGACCAAUCAUGGACACAUCAGCACCAGCAGCCAAUGCCUCCAUGAACUCCUUGGUCCCGGACCUUGCAAUCGUACCAAGGUUGUUCACCAGAUCUGACUUGGUCAUACCAAUACCACUAUCAAUAAGCGUGAGCGUGUUUGUGGCCUUGUCAGGGACAAUGUGGAUGAACAGCUCUGGCUGAGCAUCAAGCUUGCUCUUGUCAGUCAGGCUCUCGAACCUGAUCUUAUCCAAUGCCUGCAGAACAGAGCAUCCAAUUUAGUGAAAAUUUCACAAACGGCAUCCAAUCAACAAUGUAAAACAACUAGGAUAUUAACCGGAGACUGAUGCUUUACAAAAACUAAGAAAACAAUGCUUGUUUAGAAUGAGCAUACAGCCUAUUUUCGCAAUUUUGCUCAAACUAGGCUACUUGGGAUUCCAAUGUUGUGGGAGUAGUGAAUUUAACUGAACAAAAUCAAGAGUAAUUCUAUCUACAUGCAAAUCUACCUUAGAGAUUUGAAGGUGGGAGACCAAUGAUUCUAAGAAAUUAAUAAAUCUUAAUAAUCAGCACAAACGCAAUCUAGUCGUCUUAAUAUUUAAGCUUAUAUGAUUGAAGGAUUUAAAGCAUAGCACAUACGCUCGAUUGAGCUUUCAACAGAGAGUAAUUGUUUUGAACGCUAGUUUAAUGGGCAAAUCAGCUCACUAACCACGGGAGUUUCAUAUUUGACAUACCACGGAGUCCAGAGAUCAAAAUAAUUUAAUGAUACGCCUUAUGCACAGAACGGUACACAUAUCGCAGAUUCACAGUAUGAUUGAAAAUCACACCGAUCUAUUUUUUAUGCAUCAUAACGUCCACAGAUCUAGAGCGGCAAGGGCAAACAAAAACAAAGGUACAGGGGCCGCGGGGUAGGGAGCUUACAUCGGAGGAGUUGGAGAUGAGCUCGCGGAGGAAGAUCUCCUUGUUGGAGUAGAAGGUGUUGAUGAUGAGCGAGAGCAACUGGUUGAUCUCCGCCUGGAAGGCAAAGGUCUCCGUCUCCGAGGCCAUGGCGCCGGAACCCGAGGGGAAGAAGACGGCGGCUAGGGUUUUUGAGCGGGUACCAGGGUUGCUGUAAGGCUAGGUCAGAGAGGGGAUGCGUGGGGGAGCGGAUUUAUAGUGAGGGGAGGGGUUCUGGAACGUUCUAUGCCACGCGAUGCAAUGGGGAGACGACGCGCGAGGUCAGGGUCAAGUUGACUAGUCGUUGGGCCCGAGUUCCUGUGGCCCACAUGUCAGUUAGAUAGUCUAAGUUGCUCUCCAGAAGCUUCUACGUUUUGUCUAUGAAUGAGUCAACGAUGAAAUGGGAAUGAAUUCAUUUCUUAUGCACAAUUUUCACAAUUUAGCAAACCAACGUGAUUUAAAUCUCUCUCAUGUAACAUACUACGAGACAAUUCAUUGAGAAUGUUGUUUAAGUUCAAAAUUGCGCUAAAUCAAUGCCAAUAAUUUAGGAUCGGAGGGAGUACUACCGUUGUUCAAACUAUAAGAUUUUAUAAUUUUGUCUUAAAUCAAACUUCUUCAAAUUUAUAUAAAACUACCGAUGUCUACAACUCUAAGUUAAUGUUAUUAAAUUCCCUAUAAAUCUUUAUAUACUUAUUUGAUAUUUUAGAUAUUGGUGUAUUUUUAUAGCGUUGGUCAAAUUUUAACGAGCGAAUUCAAAUUUUGCCCCAUGUUUGGUAAUUGUCAAAUGUUUACCCCGUUAUUUAAUUUUGUGCUAUAUUUUUAUCCUCUAUUUGUAAAUAUGAGUCCGUUUUUACCCAUCUAACCAAUUUGCCUGGUUUUUGACAUGUUGUACCACCUGUUGCUGUUGGGGUGACAUGGCUAGUCAAUGCCUAACAUGUUGAAAGCCUACUUUGGUAUGGCACUUUCUCCCUCUCCUUAACCGCCCCGGUUACCAACACCAACUCAUUUUCUCCAUGUUUUUUUUCUUAUAGUUAGGUCAUAGUUUUUGAGAAUUUCAAAUCUUCUACUCCCUCCGUACAACAAAAGAUGUCUCAAGUUUAUCAAAAUUUGGAUGUAUCUAGACAUGACUUAGGGAGCGUUUGGUUUCUUCGCUCAGUUGGCCCGUUGCUGAGCUAGCUCACCUAUCAUGGCUGGGCAUUGCUAGUUUUCCUGUGUCUUGCCAUUUGGUUGUUUGCUUUUGAGUUGACCAGAUUGUGGUUUCCGUGAGGAUCAGGCAGUUUUUCUUCUUGGGACCGCUUCUUGUCGUCGGAGGCGAGCCGAUCUGGCUCUCCCUUGCGGGCAAGGAAUUUCUGGCCCGUUUGAGCUAGCUUGCCUCCAAAAGUCAGGAUAAAUUGACAGAUCCAAACGUUGGGCCUUGCUGGGCUAGGCUAAUUGAGCUUUUGCCUGGGAACCAAACGAACCCUUAGUGUAUAGAUGCAUUCAAAUUUAGUCAAAGUUGAGACAUCUUUUGUUGGACGGAGGAAGUAUGAGUUUUUUUUGUCAAAUGUAAAAAAAUCAAAAUGUUGUUUCUCAAAAAGUUCAGAAAUUGUUGUAAAAUUUAAUGGAAAAAACUUUUUUUUGUGACCUAGCUAAAAUACAAGUCCAUUGCUUUAGGUUUUAGCACAUUUAGAGCACUGCAAUUCAUUAUCAUGUCCAUGGUACAAAACGCUUUUUUAUUUUAAUACAUUGAGGAUAGAACAGGCUCGUGUUGAAUACACGAUCAUUUACAUUUGUAACUUAAAAAAAAAUCUUUGAACUAUUGUAUAAUCUUUGAUGUUCAUCUCUCGAGCACAUGCUCCCGUUAGCUUUUGUGCCUCUCUGUCAUAUCUUGUUCUGUUUUUUUGUUCAUGUUCGAAGAUUUGAAGCAUCCUCCAAUUUAGAAAAAAAAAACGUGCAAAGAAGUUUCUGGAAGAAGGGGAGGCUCAGAGGACGCGGAGCAUCUCGUCAGCGAAAACUCCCAACGACCCGGAUGCGUACUCCAGAUGCGUUCAAUUCAAUCCAGUGGUCCAUUUCCAAGCUCCAACCAGGCCCAUGGAAACAAGACACGGGCAACUACAGCUGGUAAGGGUAAACGAAAACCAGCAAGAAAUUUCGACUUCGAGCGGUACUUAUCUCUGAACGUGCAUGCAGCAGACGGAGAUACAGUCAAACAAAAGAGGAAAAGGGCAAAAGAAUGAUACCUUGCUUCGCAGGGUAGUAGAAUCCGGGACCAGAUUGGUUGUACAUCCAACUCCAACUGUAAAGACUAGAAGAAGACACAAUUACAAGAGCUUCUUUGCAGAGAACUCUUUGAUAAGGGAGGUAUCGUUCCGUUUCAAAAAAAAAAAAAGACAAGGGAGGUAUCGUUUGUGGGACUCCCUUGAAAUAAAGCUUUCAGCAACAACAACAACAACAAAAAAAACUCCCUUGAAAUAAAGCUUUCAACAAAAGAAGAACUCUUCAGUCAAUCUCAGGAGUUUACAGGUCUCCAGGCCUAACAACUCAUUAGAUCAUGCUUUGCAUUCAGAGGGAGUCGGACCAGAAGGGAAUACUCAAGCUUAGGUAAGACUGAGGUACAAUGAGUGUCAGAUAAAAAGAAAGACUGAGGUACGAUGGACUGGAGACUCACAGGAUCGCGAUCUACAUCAUCGCUCAGAGCGAAUCGCUCUGGCCAUUACUAGGACCACUGGACCAACGAUCCUUUUUUGAGUUGUACAAAGUGGAGCAAGGCAGUGUAUGUCUGUCCAAAGUGGCGACACAGAAGGGUGUUGUAAGGAACAUUACAAGACUGUGAUUCCAAUGCAAAGAUGGAUUUUUGGUUGAAUACUGUAGUGAAAACUUAUAUGAUCCAAAGAAACUACGGAAAUUCGUGCGUGUCAGAAACGUUUGAUGCGCCUGCAUCCAGGAAUACCGGCACACCUUCUCUGGAUUUCUCUUGAGUUUUGGUUUGAUUUUGCUUGCGCUCGAAAUAGUUGGCGUGGCUGAUGAGCGGCAUGCACGAGUCGAGAGCACAGCAUUCUGGUUGCCCUGUUGGUGAAGCGAGGUGUGUGUUCUGCACAAGUGCGGCAUCAGUACCAGGAAAUUCCCGGAAAAACACUACUACACGAUGCCAUCGAGCUGCCUUCUGUUUUUCCAGCCGCAGUGUUCUUGACUCGAACAGAUUGCAGCUUCCUUCCUUCCAGAACGAUCUUAAUUCAUGUAAAAGUGGAUUGUUUCGAAUGGAGGCGUCCAAGUCGUCGGCUUGGUCGUCGAUUUUCGUUCUGCAGAUACUUCCUCUUGUUUCGAUCAGACAGAAACUCAACUUGGCGGAUCAUCGAGAACAACACCAAUCACGUGUAUGCACUGCUGUUCAAUCAGUACUCCGUACAAGAUUUGUUCGUUAACGCAACACGCUGGCGGAUCGAUGCCUGCCGACACCUAUCAAAUCACGCGUGCACUGCAGUGUUAUUCAAGCACAUGAUUUGUUUGUUAGGUGUGCACGUCAAAUUGAAGGCCCCCCAUGCAUGCAUCCUGGAUCACACGCGCAAUAGUACUACACGAUUGCCUUUCCCCCCUUUGUCUUAUAGCAAAAUCCCACAGAUGCAUAACGUGUUCAUUCCUCUUCCAUUAAUUUUCAGAAGAUUUUUCCUUGCCAGGGCCGGCCAUGAGAUAUCUACAUACUGUAUAUAGGUUCCGUCCAGGCUGCAGAGAAGCAAAGUCAUCAGAGAGGUACUGGAUCACCGGACCAAGCUAAUAAUAGUUGCUUAGCCAUGGUCACGAAGAUUUUUCUUGGUAUUUCCCUUUUCGUGAUAUCCAUCCAACUGGUCGCCGGCGACGACGACGGCAGGCUGAGCAAGGUCGUGCGGCAGGUGCCGGCGAUGUACGUGUUCGGGGAUUCGACGCUGGACGUCGGCAACAACAACUACUUGCCGGGUAACGAUGUCCCCAGGGCCAACAUGCCACCGUACGGCGUGGAUUUCAGAGGCUCCAAGCCCACCGGACGGUUCAGCAAUGGCUACAACAUCGCCGACUCUAUCGGUGCGUACAUAUAUAUACAUGUGUAUAACUGUACAUAUGUAUCCUGUAUUUAUAUGCGCACGUACGCAUGAGGCGUGAGAGACUUAUAUAUUACAGCAUACUGUACAUAUUUUUGCAGCGAGGACGCUGGGACUGAAGGAGAGCCCUCCGGCUUAUCUGUCGCUCGCGCCACGAAGCAGCAUCCGUCUGGUCCUCGCCGCGCUCAGCGAAGGCGUCAGCUACGCGUCGGCUGGAUCCGGCAUACUGGACUCCACUGUAAUCAAGCGAGCUUAAUUGCUUCUCAGCCUAUAAGCACUGUUGUCAAUGUUAAUCACGAUGGUUGAUGCAUCUAUGUCACCAUGUGCAGAACGCUGGGAACAACAUCCCGCUGUCGAAGCAGGUGAGCCACUUGGCUUCCACGAAGCGCAAGAUGGAGGCCACGGUGGGCGCCCGCGCCGUGCGCCGCCUGCUGUCCGGCUCCUUCUUCCUCCUCGGCACCGGCAGCAACGACGUAUCCGUCUUCGCCGCGACCCAGCCGGCGGCCGGUGACGUGGCCGCGUUCUACGCCAGCCUCGUCUCCAACUACUCGGCCGCCAUUACCGUAAGCAUCCAUCCAUCCACGCAGACUCGUACAAUACCAGAUGCAUUCUUAGACUAUUUACGUAUAUACAUACAGGAUUUAUACGAGAUGGGGGCGAGGAAGUUCGCGGUGAUAAACGUGGGCCUGGUGGGCUGCGUGCCAAUGGCGCGGGCGCUGAGCCCAACGGGCUCGUGCAUCGGCGGGCUGAACGACCUCGCCUCGGGCUUCGACGCCGCGCUGGGCCGGCUCCUCGCGAGCCUGGCCGCCGGGCUGCCGGGCCUGUCGUACUCCCUCGCCGACUACCACGGCCUGUCGACGGAGACCUUCGCGAACCCGCAGGCGUCCGGGUACGUGAGCGUCGACAGCGCCUGCUGCGGGAGCGGAAGGCUGGGGGCGGAGAGCGACUGCCUGCCGAAUUCCACGCUGUGCGGCGACCAUGAUAGGUUUGUGUUCUGGGACCGCGGCCACCCUUCCCAGCGGGCCGGCCAGCUCAGUGCCGAAGCUUUCUAUGACGGCCCGGCCCAGUUCACGGCUCCUGUCAGCUUCAGGCAGCUGGCUGACAUGGAUGCUAGCUAUUAGUAGAGGAUUAUUAUUGGUUUUGCAUGUAGUUAUGCUGAGCUACCUUCGAAUAAAAUAUGGUACUUCCCCCCUCUCAUAAUUCUGGUCGAAAUAUUACAUGUAUUUAGUUAUUUUUUAAAAUAAAUAUAUUUAUUUUUGGAUAAAUUUGAGACCGGAAUUAUGAAACGGAGGGAGUACCAAGGAUUGGAUCUUCGAUCUUCCAUGCACUCCCGUCGUAAGAACUUGAGUGAGGAUCCAUCAUGCAUUCUGGCUAAGGAUGUAAUUAAUUAUGAUUUCAAAUUUUCAACAAAUGCAACAACAAGAAUGGUCAUGGACUAUAAAUUAGAGACCAUUUGAAAUCCAUUUUACGCUCAGUUGCCACAAAGGGAUGAUAAAGUAGACCGUAAUCGUGUAGACCAAAUAACCGACCGAGUAAUAUAAUAAGUUCAAACCGACCGAGUACUUAUUUAUUUUUGAAGUUAAACUGUAAGGGUUGCGCGAUUGCAGUCCGACAGUAUAUAGAUAUAUAUAAUUCUACAAAAUGAGACACCAAAGUACGACCUUCGAAGAUCGAACUCUGGUGGGCUGUCAGCAUACCUGGCUAGCUGACCACCUAAACUAUGCUUGGUUCUCGACCUAGUACUUAUUGGAUUACUCGGUGGGUUAAGUGAACUUAUUGGAUUACUCGGUCGGUCAUGUGGUCUACUCGACUACAGCCUAAUUUAAAACUUCCCGCACACCUUGUUUAUGAACCUUGUGCUAGCUGUGGCAUGGCAGUAACUGCAGCUCUGCACGGACCGGAAUCAACUGAAGCUGCAGUUGGUGUAUUGGUCGGACUCGGAGUCAAAUUGAUCCCCGCGUGAUGCAUGGCGCCCGGGGUACAAAUAUGCCGUUGCCAUGCCUGCCCUCGAUCGAAAUCAAAACCGAAAUCGAAGGCUCUCGAACCGGCCCCCGGCCGGCGCUUCGACGUCACCGUUCGGCGGCGAGGCCAUGCCCAUACCCCAACGGCUGGCUGUCGUCGUCAAAACGCCGCCUCCACGGCCGGAACGGCAGCAGCGAGCACCGUGGUCCGACCGCGGCCCUGCCGGCCGACGUCCUCUCGCUGAUCCUGGCGCGCGCGUCGUCGGGCGCCGCUGACGUGGCGGACACGCACGCCGCGCUCAUCUGCCGCCGCCCUCUCGAUACCACACCCGCCUUGCCCUCGGUUUCUUCCACCAGCAACACGAACGCGUCCGCGCCGUCUUCCCCAGCCGCCGGACGACGACCGCGCAGCCCCGCUUUGUGCCCACAGCGUCCGCCUCGCGCCUCCUCCUGGGCCCGGGCUCUCAUCAUCUCGAUCCAGGUCCAGGCCCACCAGGCCUGUUCGACUACGCCCGCCCGGUCGCGUCCCGGAACGGGCGCGUCGUGCUGGCGCUGCGGCGACGGGCUGACGCUCAGCGUGUUGAACCCCAUGACCGGGGACGUGUCCGUGCUCCCCGCGCUCUCGGGCGACGACUGCCCGGGGCAGUGCUACGUGUGCGCCCUGCUCACGAGCGACGACCUCGCCGAUCGAACCACCGGCGCCCGCGGGCUUCUUCUUCCGGGUGCUCCUCGUCUACAACGGCCGGCGCCGCAGCGGCUUCACGGCGCUGCUGGCCUUCUCGUCGGACACCGGCAUGUGGGGCCCGGAAGGCCGGAAGCCGGGGCCCAAGAUGAAUGCCGCCAGGCUGCGCCGGGUAGGCCCCGCGCGCCGUGGCCGUCCGCGGAGUCGUCCAGUAGCGCCACCAUGGACGUGAGCUUCGUGCCCUACAGCACCUCCAGCCUGUACUAUUUCCCGGACUACCGCGUGCUGGGCGUGUCACCGGAUGGGAGCCUCAGCUUCGUCUACGCGACUCUCAAUGGACUCAGCAUCUUUGUCGAGACCCUAGAGCCGCAGGCGGGUCAGUGGGAGACGCGCGAAUGGAUCAAACUGCCCCAGGUCCAGGUGAGCCAUGCGACGACCGCGGUUAAGCUGCGGUGGUUCAACGAGAAGAGCGGCACCGUGCUCUUCACCUUGAGACAGCAAGACGGAGACGACGCCACCAGCGGCGCCUUCCUGUUGAAUAUCGCCACGAGGUCGCUGGAGAAGCUUGCCGGCGGCGUCGAAUGCCAUGGGUGGAGGAACGUUUGCGGAUAUGAGAUGGACCGUGUGGCGCUCAUUGCGUCCACUGCCCGCUUCUGAUCUUCGUACGACACGUACGUACUUUUGGUUCUAGCCAUCGAGAAGAAAACAAGACAUGGAUGUUCAGCAAUUAGUGCUGUUUAACAUAGCUAUAAAGAAUAUGUCAAAUUAUUUUAUUUUGAUAGAAUCUAUCCGAUAAUUACAUAUAAGCUCAUUGACAUAAACUUGAGAGGAGCUGAUCCCAAACGUCACCUCUCGGACCCCAAAAUGUCGCUUGAGAAAACAGCUUAGUUUACAACAACCAUCCACGAAUUCGGAAGCACAAAGGUAGUUUUUUUGAGAGUUCUCCCAAAGGAGGCCCGAGGGGCAAUACACUUGCCGGAGCAAAAUAACCUUCUAGGUAGAAGCUAAGGGAUGCAGCAUAGGUCAUGAUGUAACCACCGAACUGGGGAACACGAUCAACAGAAGGAGGACUGUCAUGGGCAGCCAGAACGCCACAAGACAGCACCAGAGUGCAGUGAGGAUCAAACCAGAUAGCUCAAACAAAACAUGAAAACUACUGGCAAGAGAAACCACAAGCAUCAUCAUUAAGAAGACGCACCAAUGUCAUCUCAUGACAAAAGAUGACGCUGGCUCAUUAAGCAUGAAGAGAUUGCACAAAGUCUUCACCGGAGGGUGGGUUGUCCGAGAGAAGGAAAAGUAGUAAUAUGGUGGUGACAUGCUCUCGAAGAGUGCCACUAGUGUAAAAAUGUCUCCCCAAAGGGGGGGUGAGUUACCCAAUUGAGGAGUGUAAAAGGAGGGCAUAUACGACGACAUAUGAUGACAACAAGGGCAAUCCUGACAGAAGUUUCGAGAUUUGGAGAAGCUAAAUGGAGUUGGAUGAAAUGGGGUGGCGGAUGGAUAUCAGAUCGACCAAAGUUAGCACAACGCACUCUAUCACGGCAUCUCCGGCAGGAGGAAGCCGUCUCCAUGGCAGCCAUCUGCGAAACCAUGGAUCUUGGAAGCACAGCAAUCAAGUUGGUAUAGAGACCUCCAAGUAUAAGCCACGACACCAGGCGUUAAACUAUUGGUGCCGCCACCACAGCUGCCACCUGCAAACCAUGGUUACCGAGGGCAUGGCAGUGCCACAGGCAACGGAGGGAGGGACGAGGAGCAGCAUCACUCUAAUCAAGGUGAACAUCCGGAAAAAUUUGCAAUCUGAGGUGGCAGCGGGUUGGUGGAGUGGGGAGCAAUGAAUGAAGGGGGCGAUACCAGCACUGAAGAUGGCCGAUGAGGAGGCGAAAAUCGGAGUUGGAGGAGCCGUGGAGGGCAGCUUCGGAUCCUGGGACGCGGGCGGAGGCGACGGGCCAGGACUAGGCCGAGCGGCCCGCGGGAGGCGAGACCUGGGCCGGUGUGGAGCCCCAGACGGCGAUGUCAGCGGGCGCUCGGCCGAGCAGACGCCUGAUCUUGCCGUCAGACAAGCCAUCUCGGGAGGGGAGGAGGUGGGUACCGUCGACAGCGAGGUGGGCAGGAGCGGCAGGAGGGAGCAGCGAGUCAGCAGUCCGCCGGAUCUGGCCCGCGCCCGCCGGAUCUACCUUUAUCACGGCGACGACGAGCAUAGGCUACGAGGGAGCUAGGCUAGUCGGAGGCGCGCGGACGUGGCCUUGGCUGAGGACGAUGGCGAGACGACGAUGAGGGGCGGUGCGAACGUGAACCUGCGGCGCAACGCUCUGGAUCAGGAAAGCACCACACAGAGCAGGCCCUUGCACGGGAGAUGGGGUCGAUGGCGAGGCGAGGGGUGGUGAUGGGCGGCGCAGAUGAGGACCCGCGGCGCAGCAUUCCGGAUCUGGACGGGCACGCUGCUCGCCGAAUCCGGCCACCGCAGGCAGGGGGACGAGGCCCGGAAAGCACCUAGGGCCGCAGCCUCGCAGAGCAGGGCGCUCGCAUGGGACAAGCGGCAGCAGCAGCCCCGCCGCCACCAUCCUCGUCCGCUGCGCGAUUUCCGGCGACCAACUCUGAUGGCGACGAGGGGAAGCAGGUGGAGGGAGGCGGCGCUCGGAGGGAAACCUAGUCGCCCCCGAGUCGCUCUCGGGAGGACGACGCGAGGGACGCGUUUUUCCACAAAGGUAUUUAUAUGAGUUGCAUCUGACUAACUGCUUGACAUUAAUAGUUUAUCACAACACAAAUACAUACAAACAGCAAGAACCUUCUUAAAGACUUUCCAGAUCGGAUGAAAUGCGGAUCACUUACUAAUCAAAUACACAGCUGAACUAUCAUGAUGUACUAUAUGCCAAAUAAUCCUAUGCGAUUUGGAAUGAAGAAGAUUGCCGUGAUGAUCAACAAUAUUAACAACAUGAGGUUCAAUACACGAGUAAUUUACAAAAAUCACUGCACAGUAGCUACCAUCAGUCAGUGGCGGAGCCAGGAUUUUGUCAAGACCAGGACAGUUGCUCCCAAUCGCUAGAAUUAGCAAGUAAGACCCAGACCAAAUCGUGAAAUCAUCAAAAUUACCAAAGGAAAAAGCUUCUACGCCCUGGGCCGCGGUCUCCGCCCCUGCCGUCAGGAGCAUUUCUUGAAAACGGGAAACUUGCUUUAAGACAUGAACAAUAAAUUUAAGCACAAAUAAAAAGCAUGAAGACACAAUUAUCGAAUUGUGAUGUAAAGCUUUGUUUUCUUUUUCUAUAAACCAUUUUAUAUUGAUUUGAAGACAGGUUGUGUUCACAGGAAAUCACAAUGCCGGCACCUUGAUUGGAUGAAAACUUUGUUUCUUUUCUUCUAUAGACCAUUUUAUAUUGAUCCGAGGACAGUGUAAAGCUUUGUUUUCUUUUCUAUAAACCAUUUUAUAUUUAUUUGAGGACUGUGUAAAAGGACUCGAUACAGAAACAUCGGACCCGAGGUUUAGGCAUGGAGGUAACAUUGAACAUAGUACAUACAUUAGUAUUUUAACAGGGUUGUACAACAUCAAUUGGCUUAAAACGAACAGGGCGUAUAGGAGCUUGGCCGCUUGGAAUGGUGGACUCCGGAUAAAGUGGGUUCAGUUGCAGUAUUGAACAGGUUUCAGAGAAUACAACGAAGUUCAUGAAAAGGUUGAAGUGCUUCGGGAGCAAUUCCGCAACAAAAUUGGUCAAAUUAAGGUAGUAACAGCAGGUGAUGCGACUUCUCACUUCACUUCUCAGUUCAAUAAAGCUCCCUUUAUCGGAAAAAAAAACAAAAAUUAACAGAAAGAUACUAAGAUAUCUAUACCAAUAUAUUAAAUUGGAGUAUGUGGUGAUGGUACGAGUGUCGCGGUGCAUCACUUCACCAAAAUUACGAAUCUGCCAUCGCUGUCCCACGUGUCUUUUAAUCCCGGCUCCCGCAGUCCUCAAGCGCAGAAAAAACACGUACCACAAAAAAAAAUACAAACUAACAGAGCCCUCAUCGCGCCUCCUCCUCCUCUCCUACGAAUCUCACCCCCACCCCCUGCCCGAUCCGGAUCUCGCCGCCGCUCUUGGUUGCCUCCACCGGCUCGUGCGUGUCGGCGGCGUUCGUGUGCGGAAGGCGGCUCCGUCACGUGCUCCAACCGCCGCCUCCACCGGCUCUUGCGCGCCGGUGGCUCCCCGCGGGACUUGGACGGCGAUGAGACGAGCCUGAGGCCGGGAUGGCGGUCGCUUCGCACAAGGCAGCAAGGACUGCGUCGGCGCGAGCCAUCGGUGGCCCUCUGCACGGGCAGUGGCACGCGGCAACUAGUGGCCGGACGCGAUGUGUGGCGGCGCGCGGGCGCGGCGAACGGGCGGACAAGGCUGCGAGAGGGCGCAGGCGGACGGCGCACAGGCGGCAAGUGGGAGCAAACGGCGCAUGGGAGUGGACGGGCAGCGGGAAUCUACGGGUGGAGGCGGGGCGCACAAGCGGACGGCCGUGCAUGGCGACGUGAUGUUCGGUGGCAGGAUGAAUCGGGACGGGGAGAGGAGGAGUUUGCACUCAGUGUGAAUGGAGAGGAUAGUCAGAGAGAGCGAGAAAUUGAGAGAAGAUAUUUGAGAAAUAAAAUACGGAGUAGAAGUAAUAGUAGAGCACAAGGAGAAAUGUAGAAGACAUGUGGAAAAAAAAAAGAAACUAGUGUAUAGCCCACGAAAAUAAAUAUAUCAUAAGCGAUAUAUACAUAUGUACUCAAUUUUCCGUUGUUCCGGACCAACGUACGGUUCUUUUGCUAGUACUACGUAUACAGGAGAUGAUUACCAUACGCAGUUCGAAACUCAUAGACCCCCACCACCAUAUGACACCCUUAACCCCAUCUACUUUCUGCACAUGACAUCUAUGAACUGACCCCAUCUACUUUCUGCACAUAAAAACAAGUGAAGGGGAAACCUGGUAGAAUCAGGCGCUGACCCUUUAUAAUAGCGCCAUUCAAUAAGAUAAACUGAGCUUUGGUUGGAGAAUAAAAUCUGCACAUGACAUCUAUGAACUGUAAGAUAUAAUCAGAAAAUGCUCUCUAACAUAAAACAAAGCAAUAUUGGUUUACAGUAAAACUAUAUCUCUUGACUGAGGAUUCACACUUGACUUCCACAUAUUGUGGGAAAUAGGAAUGAGCCCAGCAAAACAUUCCCGAAACUAAGUCACCUUUAGAUGCCUAUGAUAUAAGUUAUAACACUAAAAAAUGUAUAAGGAAAUAAGGAACCACUCAGAUUUCAGCCUUGAAAGUAAUUACCAUCAUUCAGGCAAGCAAGAAGGCGUCAACAAAAAUAAUACCUGAGCAAUAACCCAGGCAAAGAUCAGAAGCUUUUCCUGUAAAAGAUAUUUACUGUUUCCCACUAUUUGGGCGGUAAGGUGUAUUACGGAGUAGCACCUUUGGCUUCCUUCUUAAAGUCAAGGCAAGCACAACGAAGAUUGCAACCUGACAAAAGCAAUGUUCAGUCACAAACUGACAGUCAAACAUCAACACCAACAAGAAACUGACGUCAUGCAUUAUUGUAAUUACAUGCUCAAUAAUCAAGAGUUAGAGACUUUUAAUGGUCAAAAUACAAGAGUAAAAUCUAUUUUGAACCUUGUCUUUGUAGAGGUUGGCUAAAUCAAACCCUGAACGUGCAAAUCCCCGAAGUUGCCACCCUCACCUCCCUAAUCCCGGUCUAAAAUUGCUUUAAAUGCGUUUAGAAGCCGGGAUCGCUGACGUGGCAGAGCCAAACCCGGGAAUCUUGACUUCUGUUGAGCUCAGUUUCCUCUCAAGUUGUGUCCAUUCAUCUCAAUUUGGUUGCGACUCGUAGCAAAUUCUCCUCUUCUCUGUCUCAUGGUUGUUAACUGUUCAUUCUGAACAACACGGUUGUUGUGGAUAUAUGGAGUGGCAUGAUGGCCCGAUGAUGCCGUUUCUUCGGCAAUUGCUACUCGAUCUAUGCAAUACAAUACAGUAUGGGCUUGUGAUGUUCAAGUUAAUGUGGAGCCAAUUGAAGCACAAAGAGCAAGAAAUGUGGCUGUUGCUGCACUAAGACAGGAGCUUGUUGAGAAGAAUGCAGAGAUUGAAGCUAUUAGGGCUAGAAAUGAGACAGGGGACAGGAAGAUGUAUGAACUUGUUGUGUAUGCAGUCCUGUUUUUUCUUGCUGGUUUAGUGGCAGGAAUUCAGCAUUGAGUUGUAUUGGUGUAUGGAAUUUCUGGAAGAAUGGCAGGAAUUAAUCAGUCAUCUGUAUGUGCCUUUGCUGUGAAAGAACGGCAGAUUCCAUGUGAAUUUUGACAGCACAUACUUGUGUAUUUCCUAUGUAUUUUUACAACACUUUUCUGUAUAUUUUGACAGCAGAAACUGAACUGAAUAAUGCAAAGAAAAGAUCACAGUUUUCUGAACAUUAUGACAGCACAUGUUGACAGGAAGAAAAAACAGACCCGAUCAAUCCAGCGUUCAAUCAUUCCAAAGAGACCACAUGUUGACCGGAAGCACAAACUGGGACUGAAAAUAAGCUGCUGGCGCCACUUUAUGGACCCCUGUUUGGAAAACCCGUUUUAGCAUCUUUAGACCGGGAUUUGGAAGUUUAGGGUGCCAACUUUAGGGAUUUGCAAGUCAGGAUUCCAUCUACAUUUCUACAAAGACAAGGUUUAAAAUAGAAUUUACUCGAUUACCAAUCUAUAUUUUAUCAUAUCCAAGAUCUCUAUGCAAUGCAGAAUGUCAGCAAAUAAAAUAUACAAUUUGCAGAACCUACCUAUUAAAUGAAUGAUGGUUGUUCGAGAACCAGGUCUUUCUACCUGAAUCAGCACUUCAUUGCAACCAAAAUGGUGCUAGAAUCGGUUGACAAGGGUCCAGUAUUGAAACAUAACAUUUGCGAUUAAAAUAUAGUUUGUGUUUUCCUUCAUGAACCUACGAUACAUAUGAUGAACAGGUGAUAGGUAAAGUCAUCAUGGAUUGAAUGCUACCUGGGCUUUGGAGUUCGUUGGACAACCUUCUCCGAAUUUUCCGGUCCCACUGCUUAACCUGACAACUCAGAAAUGAUUUUAUCCAUACACCACAAAACGAAUUCCCCCAGGGCAUUGGGAAAUCUCUGAUUGAUCCAAUCACUCGCCAUCUUGCAAACUGGCUCAGGAAUAUAGCACAAUGGUAUCUGCUCAAUACAUCAUACAACAACCAAUUAGGCGCAUCGCAAAAACAAUUCAAGUAUAAAGCAAGGUAAUUCUCAUUCUUAAAUAUCCUGAUGUAAGGUAAAUGUCAAUCACAAUGGUGAUGCAGAAACACAUGCAAUCUCUGCUAGUCAUUGAAGCAUGCAGGUGAAAGAGCAAUAACUAAAGAUGAGCUUGCAGAUUAUUCAACAAGUGAAGAUGAUCAAGCAUUCAAGCCCAAGAUCAAAAGGCGAGUGAAGGUGAAGCUGGAGGAGGAGGCGAUGGUGGUUUUGAAGUGGAUGAUGGCCUUGGUUUAAGCGACUGAUAAUAUAAUAGUAUGGUGCUGCAGACUGACAUAUAGGUGUUGGGCUGGUGUGCCUUCUUUUGGACAUACAAAUCUAGGCUGCCUCAGAUGAUCAUAAAAUAACUUCAUUUUUCAUAUAGCCAUACACAACUCUGCAUUUGUUACUUAAAGACGACGAACUGAAAAGAUUGUAUGACAGCACGUCCUACACAGUACUUUUCUAAGACAAGUAAGCUUCCUCAAAGUAGCGUUGAAACAAGUCGUUCCGCAAAUAAAAACAACUCAUUAUGCAAAUAAAAGAUUCUGCACAACGAAUACAAAUGAGGUGAACGGGUAGGCCCAUACCUGGAAUUCAAGGCUUACAUUCAACAAUAGUGGACACAAGAGCCUGUUUACCAAUAAGAUGAACAAUUUAUUUUUCGGUAGCAUCAUCACCAACUAAUAUGAUUUGCUCAGCACCAAAGCCAUGCAGGUUACCAUGUUUACAUUUGUUUUCUCCAAAAAUAUUCACAGUUGCAUUUUUGUCAUUACCCGUUUCCAGGACUCCAGCAGCACAGGAAGUUCUCCAUAUACCGGACCAGUCUCUGGAUUAGCUUGUCAACACACUUGAUGGGAAAAAGCACAAGAGGUAAAUGAUACUUUGGGCCAUACAAAGAAUUCCACAAUGCAUGCGAAAAUUUUGGAACAUAUCGGAGAGAUGGCGUAGCUUGUUUUCCAUGUUUAUUUCCUUGCAUGCAUGCUUAAAGUGAUCGAAUAUCUUCAAAUCCCCCUUGCUAUAGUAUGCUCAGUGUCACCGGCAAAAUGGAAGCCCUCCUCAAAAUUUCUACGGACAUACUUAACAAGUGCUAUUUGUGUCAUGGUCAGAUCCUGUACCUCAUCUACGUAAACAAAAUCCACCAUAUCGCCAUUGUGUAGCCCUCAGAAACUAGACUUCCAUGAAGACAAUUCACAAAAUAUUGUCUGCAUGAUAUGCUGGUUACAAAUAAUGCCCGAAAAGAGAUUCUUUGGUUAUUGGGGUUAGACUAUCCUCAAUUGCUCCUAGGUGAUGCACACAAAAUAUUCGACAUACUCUAUCCAAAAGACCCAAACUGGACAUUUUAGUAGCAAAAUGCAUAAAUACCGAUUAACAUGACCAUCCAUACUCACCAAAGAAGACAUCUAAGGUUUCUUUCCCUGGAUACUAAAUAGAAUGCAUAGACAUUGUUCAGUUUCUUUUCAUAAUUAUUAUUAUACAAACUAAUGCAAGUCUUUAUACUCUACUGACCCGUAAAAUAUGUGAUAUAUAUAAUUAUUUCAUUUUCUUUUCUCUAGAAAUCUCUGAUCAGAAGAGAUUAAGUUAAGCCAAUGCUGAUCAAAGUACAGCAUGCAAGAAAAAAAAAACUACAGCAGGUGAAAUGGCAAAGUUAACAGGAUGAUACUAAGAUAUACUACAUAUAUAUAGGAGACGAUUACCAUACGCAGUUCGAAACUCAAGACCGCCACCAUAGUGACAAUAUGAUAUCCUUAUCCCCAUCUACUUCCUGUAGGCUAGCACAGUAACACAAAAAACCGAACCGACCACAGAACACAGCAAAUCCAAGGCAAGCUUCCUAACACUUGAUGAAAAAAAAAAUGAAUGCAGACACCUAGUCGACCUCCUCCAUCUUGCUCUCGCCAGCGUCAUCCUCCAGUGCUGGCAUGUCGGUGUCAUCAGCAUCGGCGGCCUCAUCCUCAUCGAUGCUCAGGCCAAGCUUGAGCAUACGGUGGAUCCUGGUGCCGAAGGUGUUGGGGUCGUCCAGGCUGAAGCCAGAGGUGAGCAGGGAGGUCUCGAACAGCAGCAUCACCAAGUCCUUGACAGACUUGUCAUUCUUGUCAUCAUCCGCCCGCUUGCGCAGCUCCUCCAUGAUGGCGUUCUCCGGGUUGAUCUCCAUUGUCUUCUUGCUUGACAUGUAGCCUCCCAUGCUCGAGUCCCUCAGAGCCUGGGCCUUCAUGAUCCGCUCCAUGUUGGCAGUCCAGCCAUACUCACCAGUGACAAGACAGCACGGCGAGUCAACGACGCGGUCAGAGACAAUGACCUUCUCCACCCUGUCACCGAGCACAUCCUUGAUCACCUUGCAGAGGCCCUCAAACUUCUCCUUGAGCUCCUCCUUCCUCUUCUUCUCAUCCUCACUGUCCUCAAGCUUCAGGCCUUCCUUGGUGGCAGACACAAGCUUCUUUCCCUCGAACUCCUUGAGCUGGCCAAUGGCGUACUCAUCAAUGGCAUCAACCAUGAACAGGACUUCAUAGCCCUUCUUCUUUAGCCUCUCCAAGAAGGGAGAAUUCUCCACAGCCUUCUUGCUCUCGCCGGUGAUGUAGUAGAUGUCGUUCUGGCCCUCCUUCAUCCUGGUCACGUAGUCCUUGAGGCUGGUCAGCUCAUCACCACUCUUGGUGGAGUGGUACCUCAGGAGCUCAGAAAGCUUGGUCCUGUUGGUGGAGUCCUCAUGGACGCCAAGCUUGAGGUUCUUGGAGAAUGCCUCAUAGAACUUGUUGUAGUCCUCCUUGUUCUCAGCAAUCUCAAAGAACAGCUCAAUGGACUUCUUAACAAGGUUCUUCCGGAUGACCUUGAGGAUCUUGUUCUGCUGGAGCGUCUCUCUAGAGAUGUUGAGGGGAAGGUCCUCAGAGUCAACAAUUCCCUUGACAAAGCUCAGCCACUCAGGAAUCAGCUCCUCACAGUUGUCCAUGAUGAAGACACGGCGCACAUAGAGCUUGAUGUUGUUGGCCUUCUUCCUGGUGUCAAAGAGGUCGAAGGGGGCCCUCUUGGGGACAAAGAGAACAGCCUUGAACUCAAGCUGCCCUUCCACAGAGAAGUGCUUGACAGCUAGAUGCUCCUCCCAGUCGUUUGUCAAGCUCUUGUAGAAUGCAGCGUACUCCUCCUUAGUGAUCUCUUCAGGCUUCCUCAUCCAGAUAGGCUUCUGCUUGUUGAUCAGGGACCACUCAUGAGAAACCUCCUUGAUCUUCUUCUUCUUCUUUUCUUUUUCCUCCUUUUCUUCAUCAAUUUCCUCAACCUUGCCCUCCUCACUAUCCUUUUUCUCUUCCUCAUCCUCAUCAUCGGAAAUUUCCUUCUCAGUUGUCUUCUCAGUCCACAGAGAGAUAGGGUAGCUGAUAAACUCAGAGUGUUUCUUCACCAGAUCCUUAAGGCGCCGCUCCUCGAGGUACUCCAACUGCACAGUAGAAGCAAAUUGUUAGGGACAAUUAACACGCCACAAGUUAUCAGUAACAAUAUGAGUAAAGAAGAAUCUGCUGCAGUCUGACCUAUGUGCAGUGAUACUUAAGUUGAGAAAAAACUUGCUCGAUGAAUUAUUUUGAUUAAUUUUACUGAUUCUACAUAGUAAUAGUGAAGCCAACUUGAAAGCAACAACAUUCUCCAAAAAAAAAACUUCACAGCAACAACAAAGCAACAGGAAAUAAUUCCGUUUCAAACUAGGGAUGCAAACGGGACCCUGCAAAGGCCCACUACUAGUUCAAUCGUCAAAUCUCCUAUUCGAAAUUUGAAUGGGAAAUGAAAUUCAAGAAUUGAACGAAACAGGAUCACAUUUGCAUCGCAAUUCAAUACAACAACAAACAAUAAUGCUGAUUAAUUUCAUUCCAAAGGCCAAACAAUAAAUUAACUUAGCAAGUAUAUUCCAUUUCAUUGCAAACAGAUGGCCAUAAAUUCAAAACAUAGACCAUAGCAGGUACCAACAGGGGACUGAACCAACAGGAAAUUCUUAAACCCAAAUUCAACAUUCAACUUCCAUUAAAGCUCACAUUCCAACAGUGAAUUGAGCAUAUGAAGAAGCAGGAAAUUCUUGUACCCAAAUUUGAACAUCCAACUUCAAUUAACCCUCACAUUUUCAGCAUUGAAUUGAGUAUCACUAACAAAGCCAGGGACCAUUUGGUCAUUACAACAACAGUAAUACAACAAGGGAGGGAAAUGAGCAGCACACGAUAAGGAUAUCUCAUGAGAAGUUCUAAUUAGCCACACAAACAAUCAGCACUAUCCAAAUCAAACUAAGCUGCAAACAGGACAUGGCUCAGGUAAAUUGUGCAAGCACUUUAGCUAUUGGCCAGGUAGCUAGUGCAAGCAAAUAUUUAUUUUCUCCUAACAUUACCCAGGUAGCAGGUACAGGUAGUAAAUUAUUAUUCGGUGAGCUAUAUUUUGUUUUACCUGAUCAUCCUUGAGGUAGAGGGUGAUCUUGGUACCCCUUCCAAGGGGCUCUCCAUCAUCACGGGUGACUGUGAAGGACCCACCCGCCUGAGACUCCCACACAUACUGCUCAUCGUCGUUGUGCUUGGUAGUCACAACGACCCUCUCCGCAACAAGGUAAGCAGAGUAGAAGCCAACACCAAACUGACCAAUCAUGGACACAUCAGCACCAGCAGCCAGUGCCUCCAUGAACUCCUUCGUCCCAGACCUUGCAAUUGUACCAAGGUUGUUCACCAAAUCUGACUUUGUCAUACCGAUACCACUGUCGAUGAGCGUGAGUGUGUUCGUGGCCUUGUCAGGGACAAUGUGGAUGAAUAGCUCUGGC